AUUGAACGCUGGCGGCAGGCCUAACACAUGCAAGUCGAGCGGUAACAGGCCUUCGGGUGCUGACGAGCGGCGGACGGGUGAGUAACGCGUGGGAAUCUGCCCAUUGGUGGGGGAUAGCCCGGAGAAAUCCGGAUUAAUACCGCAUAAUACCUAAGGGUUAAAACGGGGGAUCUUAGGACCUCGUGCCGAUGGAUGAGCCCGCGUCAGAUUAGUUAGUUGGUGAGGUAAUGGCUCACCAAGACCGCGAUCUGUAGCUGGCCUGAGAGGGUGGCCAGUCACACUGGAACUGAGACACGGUCCAG
rnacentral:rRNA from 1 species